AUUGAACGCUGGCGGCAUGCCUUACACAUGCAAGUCGAACGGCAGCACGGGAGCAAUCCUGGUGGCGAGUGGCGAACGGGUGAGUAAUGUAUCGGAACGUGCCCAGUCGUGGGGGAUAACGUAGCGAAAGCUACGCUAAUACUGCAUACGAUCUGUGGAUGAAAGCGGGGGACCGUAAGUCCUCGCGCGAUUGGAGCCGCCGAUAACAGAUUAGGUAGUUGGUGGGGUAAAGGCCUACCAAGCCGAGGAUCUGUAGCUGGUCUGAGAGGACGACAAGCAACACGGGGACUGAGACAGGGCCCAGACUCCUACGGGAGGAAGCAGUGGGAAAUUUUGAACAAUGGGCGCAAGCCUGAUCCAGCAAUGCCGCGUGCAGGAUGAAGGCCUUCGGGUUGUAAACUGCUUUUGUACGGAGCGAAAAGGCUCUCUCUAAUACAGGGGGCUCGUGACGGUACCGUAAGAAUAAGCACCGGCUAACUACGUGCCAGCAGCCGCCGUAA
rnacentral:rRNA from 1 species